rnacentral:rRNA from 1 species
AUUAACAGACCAAAAUAGGCAAAACACCUAGACAAUUGUUUAAAAUACUGUCACACCGACACAGGAAUGCCAUAUARAAAGAUUAAAAGUUGUAAAAGGAACUCAGCAAAACUUGUCCCAACUGUUUACCAAAAACAUAGCCUUUAGCAACACAAGUAUUAAAGGUCCUGCCUGCCCAGUGAAACUUCUUUUCAACGGCCGCGGUAUUCUAACCGUGCAAAGGUAGCGUAAUCACUUGUCUCUUAAAUAGAGACUAGUAUGAACGGCUAAAUGAGGACAAGCCUGUCUCCUGCAACCAAUCAGUGAAACUGAUCUUCCAGUCCAAAAGCUGGAAUACAAACACAAGACGAGAAGACCCUGUGGAGCUUUAAACCUACUACCAACAAACCCGCCUGGUACAACGUUUUGAGUUGGGGCGACUUCGGAAAAAAACAAAACUUCCGAGAACAGAACCACCACUUCUAACUAAGGCAGACAUGCCAAAAACAACUUUAGACCCAGUCACACUGAUCAACGAACCAAGUUACCCCAGGGAUAACAGCGCUAUCUUCUUCAAGAGUUCAUAUMRACAAGAAGGUUUACGACCUCGAUGUUGGAUCAGGACACCCAAAUGGURMAGCCKCUAUUAAAGGUUCGUUUGUUCAACGAUUAAUAGUCCUACGUGAUCUG